AGCCAGCACGCCCACCGGGCAGGGUCGGGACAGGAAUCCUCUCAGACACGAAAGCCCCAGGUUAAGAGGAGGGGCUGCCUGGAGGAGGGGGUGACAGAGGGUGGCUUUGCCUCCCCCACACUUUCAGCAAGAAAUUUCUUUCUGCACAGGGACUUUUCCUGAAAAGGCAGGAACAGCAGAUGGAGAGGGGUGGGGGAUAAGAGGAGGACAGAGAUGGAAGGAGGGGAGGGUCAGAGGAGAGGAGUGGGCAGUCAGGCCUGGGUUUGGAUGGCACGGUUUGUCAAAAUGGAUAUAGUGCCAGGAGGGAAAGGGACUAGCAGGGGAUGACUGAGCAUCCCUCCCUCCAGGCAGCCCGCAGUGGAGCAGGGAUGCAGAGCUGCGGUCAGGCCACCGGUGUCCUCGUCCAUCAAUCGCUAACCAGAUUUGGGAUUUCCUGAUAGCAGGAGCUGAGCUGGUCAUCUCCGGAUCCCCCAGACCUAGCAUGGAUACUGAAUGGAAUACUUUUAGAAGAUGUGAGUAGCACCUGGUAACAUUGUGAAGUUGAUGAAACUUUUCUGCCAUGCUGUCAUAUCCUGGCAUGAUAGUCUGGGUGCCUGGAAACGAACAAUAGCUAAUGUGGAUACAGUGUGAGCCGGGUGUCUGGUGCUUGGGGCACUAGGCACUUUAACCAAAGCAAUCCUCAUAAAAACCUUACAAGGUAGGAGUUGGUAUUAUCACAGCCUCAAUUCACAGAAGAGGAACCAGAGGGUGGGAAGUUAAGUAACUUGCUCAAGGUCAUACCAUUAAUUAAUAGUGGAGCCCAGGUUCAAACCUAGACAGCUAGGUUCAAUCUGUGUUCCCAGCCACCACAUCUUCCUGCCACUUAAGACGAGGGACUCAAUACAUAUUCACUGAAGGCAAGAAGGAAAAAAAGUAAUUUACAUGAAUGCUAACAAGCUGUGUGUAUUAGGUUCUCCUAAGAAAAAGAAUGUGUGUAUGUAUAGACACAUGCACACACACACACAUCUAUACAUAUACAUGGAGAGAGAGAGAGAAGGCUGAUUUUAAGUAAUUGAGUCAAUUAAAUAAUUGAUUUUAAAUAAUUG
rnacentral:lncRNA from 10 species